CUUGGGUUUAAUUCGUGCAGUUACUGGCAGUCAGUGUAGAGAGCUGAGCAAAGGCGGAAAAUGAGAGAAUUUCCAGAGGUUAAAUACAAGUUGGACAGCAGCAUUUUGGAUGCGCUCGAAGGACCGUGUAGCAGAUACAGGUGGACCAGAGAGGACUUGAGUAUCUACUCAGUCGUCAUGGAAACAGCCAAGAUGCUGGGUACAACAAGGGAAAGUGAGAGAAGGAGAGAUGGAAGGUGAGGGACGCAGGAAGAAAAGUGUCUGAAGGUCGCUCACAGAUUAAAGAGCCGGUUUUCUUCAAAAGCUUGGGAUUCUCUGCUUCUUUCCUUUUUACAAAUGAAAUUUAGAAAUUUGGACCUGCUGGCUGCUGAAAAUGUUCC
ensembl:lncRNA